CUAGCACUUAGGAGGAGUAAAACUGUUUCUAAAGAAGGAAAAAAAAACACAAACAGAGGUAGUGCUAAGGACUAGGACAGGAUUUUUGUUCGAAAGUUGUCUUUGAAAUCACUAAUGAUUAUUAUAAUAAUAAAAAAAUAAAAAUAAAAAAGUCCGACCUGCCGGAUUCGAACCAGCGACCUAAGGAUGGCUAUCUGGAAGUUUUCCAACUACAGUCCUCCGCUCUACCAACUGAGCUAAGGCACACUGCAAUGGUGAUUACUCUGGUUUUGUGUAUUCUGUGGUUACAAAUGAGAUCAAGUUGUUUCAAUUAUCUCACAAACCAGUUAGCGCGGAAUCAAGAUUCAAGACAUUAUCGACACAGUUUUUGCUUUAAUUGGAACACUAUUUUUCAAAAGAUGUUUUUAUUUUAUUUUUUAUUUUAUAGAAUUCUCAAGAUGUUACUUGGCCACAAAGUGAUGUUAAUUGGAACACUAUUUCUUCAAUUUGCCUAGACAUGUUUUAAAAUAAA